rnacentral:rRNA from 1 species
UACGUAGGGUGCAAGCGUUAAUCGGAAUUACUGGGCGUAAAGCGUGCGCAGGCGGUUCUGUAAGUCUGUCGUGAAAUCCCCGGGCUUAACCUGGGAAUUGCGAUGGAGACUGCAAGGCUAGAAUCUGGCAGAGGGGGGUAGAAUUCCACGUGUAGCAGUGAAAUGCGUAGAGAUGUGGAGGAACACCGAUGGCGCAAGGCAGCCCCCUGGGUCAAGAUUGACGCUCAUGCACGAAAGGCGUGGGGAGCAAACAGGAUUAG